CCACUCCACAUAAUGGAGAAGUAUAUUGCAUAAAAGGCAUAUUCAAUCAUUUGGAUGGACGGUCACUUUUGAGGUUGAAGAAUGGAGAUUGUAAAACUUACAAGGAAUAUUACAAAGAUAAGCAUGGCAUCAAUCUGAGUUUUGAUCAACAAUUACUUCUUCGUGGACGGCAUAUUUUUCCAUUGCAGAAUUACCUUGAUAGAUGCAGACAACACAAGGGGAAAGAUUCACAAAAUGCAUAUGUCCAGUUACCUCCUGAACUUUGUUGCAUUAAAAUGUCACC
rnacentral:misc_RNA from 1 species